rnacentral:tRNA from 10 species
GUGUGUGGUAGUGUGGCCGAGCGGUCUAAGGCGCUGGAUUUAGGCUCCAGUCUCUUCGGGGGCGUGGGUUCGAAUCCCACCACUGCCAGUGGUACGUUUUAGCACAACAAGGAUCCUGAAGUACUAACACUUUCUAACUAGUAAAAUAAUUAAAUCUUCCUUUCCCAGGAUUCUCCCGGAUUACACAGCAUCAGUUCCUCUGAAUUCUGCAUUCGUAAUUAAAAUCCUGAUUUCCAAUUGGCAUUUCUUUCGGUUAGGCAGGGAGGCCUUCUCGCUCGCGGUCUCCUACUUUAUCCGUUGUACUGACUCUCUGGACCCCAGUUUUUGCACUGCACCAUUUGGGUUCCCGCAAUCAGGAAAGCUCAGUUCUCAUCUAAAAUACACGCUCACAUUGAAUCAUUGUCAUUACCUAGUUUAAGCAUAAGGUGGUCAGGAAGUUUUUGCAGAAACUUUCCCAUUGGUCCCAUCAGCCCGCGGCCGGCACUGCUUUAGGAGUUGCAGCUCUGUGCUCGCGAAAUAUCCUGCC